rnacentral:rRNA from 1 species
AUUGAACGCUGGCGGCAGGCUUAACACAUGCAAGUCGAGCGAGCGGCGGACGGGUGAGUAAUGUCUGGGAAACUGCCUGAUGGAGGGGAUAACUACUGGAAACGGUAGCUAAUACCGCAUACCAUCAGAUGUGCCCAGAUGGGAUUAGCGAGUAGGUGGGGUAAUGGCUCACCGAGGCGCCGAUCCCUAGCUGGUCUGAGAGGCUGACCAGCCACACUGGAAAUGAGACACGGACCAGACGCCUACGGGAGGCAGGAGUGGGUAAGAUUGCAGAAUGGGCGCAAGCCUGAUGAAGCCAUGCCGCGUGUGUGAAGAAGGCCUUCGGGUUGUAAAGCACUUUCAGCGAGGAGGCGGUACUCGCAGAAGAAGCACCGGCUAACUCCGUGCCAGCAGCCGCGGUAAUUC